UCUCUGCGCGGAAAAUUUAACGGGGCUAAGAUACAAACCGAAGCUUAGGCUGCACGUAAGUGCGGGGUAGGGGAGCGUUGUGUAAGCGGAGAAACAGUAGCGUAAGCGGCUGUGGAGUUUACAGAAGUGAGAAUGCCGGAAUGAGUAGCGCGAAUGUGGUGAGAAUCCACAUGGCCGGAAACCUCAGGUUUUUGGAGGAAGGUUCGUCCGCUCCAAGUUAGGCGGGAGCUAAGGUCAGGCCGAAAGGCGUAGCCGAUGCACAGACGGUAGAGAUUCCGUCCCCACCGAAAGAUUUAAGCACAGGGACACUUUUUGAAGGUCGGAGCCAGGUGUUGGUUCUGGUAGUGAUCGAGGGAAAUAUAGUACCGAAGUCCGGCUGGAAGAGAGGCGAGAAAAGCUGUGUGUAUAUCUAAGGUGCCCGUACCGCAAACCGACACAGGUAGGUAGGAAGAAGAUUCUAAGGCCAACGGGAGAAGGGUUGUUAAGGAACUCGGCAAGUUGACCCCGUAACUUCGGAAUAAGGGGUGCUCACGAGAGUGAGCCGCAGAGAAUAGGCCCAGGCAACUGUUUACCAAAAACACAGGUUUGUGCUAAAUCGAAAGAUGACGUAUACGAGCUGACGCCUGCCCGGUGCUGGAAGGUUAAAAGGAGAUGUGCAAGCAUUGAAUUGAAGCCCCAGUGAACGGCGGCCGUAACUAUAACGGUCCUAAGGUAGCGAAAUUCCUUGUCAGGUAAGUUCUGACCCGCAUGAAAGGCGUAAUGAUCUGGGCACUGUCUCAACAGCCCGCCCGGCGAAAUUGUAGUACCGGUGAAGAUGCCGGUUACCCGCGACAAGACGGAAAGACCCCAUGGAGCUUUACUGUAGCCUGAUAUUGGGUUUCGGUGUUGCAUGCACAGGAUAGAUGGGACGCUAGGAAAGAAGCGCUUUGGCGUUUCUGGAGCGGACGUUGGGAUACCAUCCUUGCGACAUUGGAAUUCUAACCUGCGCCUCUGAAUCGAGGCGGGGGACAUUGUCAGGUGGGCAGUUUGACUGGGGCGGUCGCCUCCUAAAAAGUAGCGGAGGCGUUCAAAGGUUCGUUCGAUCUGGACGGAAACCAGAUGAUUGAGUGCAAACGCAUAAACGAGCCUGACUGCGAGACUGACGGGUCGAGCAGAGACGAAAGUCGGAGUUAGUGAUCCGGUGGUAUGUGAGUGGAAAUGCCAUCGCUCAACGGAUAAAAGUUACCCUGGGGAUAACAGGCUGAUCUCCCCCAAGAGUCCACAUCGACGGGGAGGUUUGGCACCUCGAUGUCGGCUCAUCGCAUCCUGGGGCUGUAUUCGGUCCCAAGGGUUUGGCUGUUCGCCAAUUAAAGCGGUACGCGAGCUGGGUUCAGAACGUCGUGAGACAGUUCGGUCCCUAUCUGUCGUGGGCGCAGGAUAUUUGAAAGGCGCUGUCCCUAGUACGAGAGGACCGGGAUGGACGAACCUCUGGUGCACCAGUUGUCACGCCAGUGGCACAGCUGGGCAGCUAUGUUCGGAUCGGAUAAACGCUGAAAGCAUCUAAGCGUGAAGCCGGCCUUAAGAUAAGAUAUCCCACUGAGUCAAUCAGGUAAGACCCCUUGA
rnacentral:rRNA from 1 species